AACAAGUCCAAGCAGGUACAAUUAUCCAAUGCGUAAAUCCGCUUUCUGUCCAGAGCCUCCAUCGUAAGAGCAAAGACUGAUCCUUAGACUUAACGUUACUGGAAAGCCCCUCUUCUGCUGUUCCUCACAUGCCAUACCCAGGAGUGAAGCCAUUUCCCAGGUUGGGACAUAUGACAUAAGAAGAGUUUGCUGCUAAGUUUGCACUAUCCAGGACCAGCCAGGCUGCUGGAAGAGAUUUUUCUCAGUCCUCUGUUGCUGAAAGGUCUCUUGCUGGUGGAUUUGCUGCCUGUGAUGCAAGUAAGACUGAACUUCAGAGCACCGGAGAAAGGAAGCUAUCACAGCACUGGUUUGAAGGGGAGAGCUCACUUAUACCGGUAAAAGUGUAAUGUCUGUACCUGGCCUGACUGUGUUUGUGUGCUGCUGCCGUUGUUGGGACAGCGCUUUGACCAAAGCCAGCCUGAGGCAACACCUGCAUCAACAGCUCACUACAGUGAAUGCAGGAAACGGUGACGGAGGACACCGAAAAGGGUCUGUCAAGUGAGGAAACACUCUACAGGAAUCUUCAGGACACGAUCGGUCCUAAUGAUUGCCCACGUCGGUGAUUUGAUAUGGCGGUGGUGCGCAGAAGUCCUAUUCAAGGAGGAUCUCCUGUCUUAGGUAUGGUACAAACACAAAGCAGGAAGGGCACUUCUAGCACAGAAAAGCCAAUCUACCUUGGUUUCAAAACCAUGCUUGUACUGUCUGAAAAACCUGUAAGAACAGCUCUAGGAAAGGGAUCUUUUUGCACCAGAUCUCUCACUGAUCUAUUAGCAACCACCUCCGCCCCC